UAGUUCAGCAGUGCAGCGAAAAAGAAUAGACCCUCUGUCGUUCUUUACUUGUGUAAAUUACUGCUCGUUUUGUGAUACCGUAUGCACUAGGACGCUAAUAUAAUAAGCGAAGAAGAAAAAGAAGAGGCCUAAAGGGUUUUUGGUUUAUACGAGAUCGAUAAAGCCCUACGGACUAAAAACAACGAAAAGAAUAAUUAAUAUAGGAAUGAUUUGAAACUCGCAGUGUACAGAAUGUAUUCGGAUGCUAUAACCUGUAAAUUCAACACGCAUUGUCGUUUGCUCGCAUCAUUUUGGGUUUUUAAUGGUUUUAGAUAUAUUUCGUGUGGAGAGAAAUUGUUUAAACUACCGUUUGAAGAAUAUAUUUCGAAGAAAUUUACAGUACGAUGCCGCUGCAUGUGAAUAACAGAUUUGGAUAAUAAUUUAAUAAUGAAGCAAAUCCAUUUGGAAACUAACAAUUCGCGUUGCUAUAAGCAUCUUCAUGUGGUAUCGAAAAGGCAACAAAGAAUCAGAUUAACCCGCCAGAAACAAACUAUAAAAAAAAACAGUUGAUGUGACAAAAUCACUUUUGUUACAUAAUAGUUUGAUUCGUCCUGUAAACAUUUCACUUAAAAACUUUACUAAAAAUAUUAUACAAUCUCAAAACUUUAAAGACGUAAAUUACUUUGUACAAGAGACACUGGCUCCGAUUGUACAACUCUUUCCUGACAAAAAAUCUUUUCAUUUAUAUACAAACAAUCCCAGAUAGCCAAAUCUGUGCAAAUAGAUUUCGAGCAGAUGUUGUUAUAAUUUUUGACGGCAAAAAAGAAGCAAAUUUAACACAGAAUUUGUUUAUCUGAUCGUGUCGACAAACUGUUACCAAAAAUGUAACAAAGCUUGAUGACAGGAAAUCCGAGCAGAUUGGCAGCAAAAACUAAACAGAGUCUGUUACAAUCUAA